rnacentral:tRNA from 1 species
GUGACCUACAGGUAGCUUGGCAGGACUCAUAAUCCCUUGGUCGCAGGUUCGAGUCCUGCUGGGCCCACCA